rnacentral:tRNA from 2 species
UGCUGAGUGCCUGAUUAAAGGAUAAUUUUGAUAGAAUUAACCAUGUGUGCCCCACACCUCUGCAA